UCCUUGAGCUGUGGUGGGCUCCACCCAGUUCGAGCUUCCCUGCUGCUUUGUUUACCUAAGCAAGCCUGGGCAAUGGCGGGCGCCCCUCCCCCAGCCUCGCUGCCGCCUUGCAGUUUGAUCUCAGACUGCUGUGCUAGCAAUCAGCGAGACUCCGUGGGCGUAGGACCCUCUGAACCACCUCAGAUGGAAAUGCAGAAAUCACCCGUCUUCUGCGUCGCUCACGCUGGGAGCUGUAGACCGGAGCUGUUCCUAUUCGGCCAUCUUGGCUCCUCCUGUCUGGCACUCCCUAGUGAGAUGAAGCCGGUACCUCAGAUGGAAAUGCGGAAAUCACCGUCUUCUGUGUCGCUCAGGCUGGGAGCUGUAGACCGGAGCUGUUCCUAUUCGGCCAUCUUGGCUCCUCUCCCUCUUUAAAGUGAUUGCUCACUGAUGCCUUAUCUAGUUCUCUUGGUGAGGUCAUGUUUUCCUGGAUGGUCUUGGUGUUUGUGGAUGUUCAUCAAUGUCAGGGCAUUGAGAAGUUAGAAUGUGAUUUUGAAGAAAGGAGGAAAGAUGUGAAAAGUGAUUGGUCAGCCACAUUCAUGGUGUUGAGAAAAGAAUUUGCUUUUCUGGAACAUAGCCUGUGAUAGCAGAACAACACCUGGCAAGAAACAGGUUAUGUUUGGCUGGAGAGUCAUUGGCACUAUCAAGAAAUAUUAAAGUGUAGAUUUGAGAGAGGAGGAGAAAGACCCAAGCAAAAUUGAAAACCAGGUGGGACCCAGACAGCAGCAAAGCAAUGGAAGCAUGUAUUUUGGUCAAUAUAGAGUUAAUACACAAUUUUGCCCCUCUUCUUCUGAUCAUGGGACUCAUAUUACCAGUCUUCACAUUUCCUUUAAAUUCAGGAAUCAGGAAGAAUUUCCAGAGUUUGCAGAUGGACACAUUUGCUGCUUCCAUUCUAAACAUAAGUUAGAAGAACCUUUCAACUGGAUUCCAACUUUAAUAUGUCACAAACAUAAAAAAGAAAGCUAUUUCCUGGACUUUUCUUCAUUAGAAAUUAAUAGAUUGUCAAUUGGCAUAGGGAAAAGAUAAUCAACAGAUGCCAACCCCAAGUUAACAGAAAUGCUAAAAUUAUAAGACAAAGACUUCAAAAUAGCUAUUUUAAUUUUGCCUAGUGAGGUAAAUGCAAACAUGCUCACUAUGAAUGAAAACAGGUAAUCUCAGCAGUCAUGUAAACUAUAAAAAUAAGCAAAUAUAAAUUUUAGAAUUAAAACACAAUAUCUAAAAAUAAAUUCACCUGAUAUUCUCAAUAGAAAAAAUGGUAAUGCAGAGAAAAAUGUAUGAAAAUAUGGCAAUUUGAAGAAGAGAGAAGAGAUCAAUAAAAUAAAUAAGUAUAUCCUUGGAGACCUGUGGAUGUUUUUUGAAAAGUGAAUCAUGUAAGUAAUUGAAGUCCCAGAAGAAAAGAAAAGAAGAGGAUGAGCAGAAAAAAAUUUCUGAAAAAAUGAUUUGGACACUCCAGGACUCUCAUUACCUUCCCCAAAUAUUUGGACAUAUGUG
rnacentral:lncRNA from 1 species